AGAGAAUAAAAGCAGGCUGCCCGAGCCAGCAGUGGCAACCUGAUGGGGUCCCUUUUCAAGCUGUGGAACCUUUGUUCUUUCUCUGUUUGCAAUAAAUCUUGCCACUGCUCACUCUUUGGGUCCACACUGCUUUUAUGAGCUGUAACACUCACCGCGAAGGUCCGCAGCUUCACUCCUGAAGCCAGCGAGACCACGAGCCUACUGGGAGGAACGAACAACUCCCGACGCGCCGCCUUAAGAGCUGUAACACUCACCGCGAAGGUCUGCAGCUUCACUCCUGAGCCAGCGAGACCACGAACCCACCAGAAGGAAAAAACUCCGAACACAUCUGAACAUCAGAAGCAACAAACUCCGGACACGCCGCCUUUAAGAACUGUAACACUCACUGCGAGGGUCCGCGGCUUCAUUCUUGAAGUGAGUGAGACCAAGAACCCACCAGUUCUGGACACAAUUUCAAGUCCUCAGGUGCCAUCAAUAUUCUGAAAAUGGCAGUGAUUUUUAUUCAACCUGUAUAAGGCACUUUCACCAUGUACCUGGAAGCAACAUCUACAUCUUUUUCAGUUUCUUCUACGCCAGGUGUGUGCUUAGCUCCAUGACAAAAGGUGACAGCUUAUUCUGCAGCACACACACAUCAUCAAAGUGGGAGGUGGUGAGACUGGCACACUGACAGUCUGUCCUAGCAGAUUUCAGCUCACACUGCAAUCUAGAUGCUGGGGACACAAGGUCCACCUUCCAGGAAUAUGGCCAUGACACCAGAAAUCACAAACAUGAUGAGAAUGGAAUGACUGGGGAAGAAGUGCCAGAUGCUUCACUUGUAAAUGAAGACCCAGCCUCUGGGGAUGCAGAUACCACCUCCCUGAAGAAGCUGAAUAUCUGCAGAUAAGUGGAGUUCACCAAUGAUGAGGAGCGGGAUGGAGAAAGGAGGUAGGGAGAGUCAUCCAAGGAACAUGAGCAACAUGUUAAAAGCCAAGUGGUUUAAUUUCUGGAGAUGGUGAACCCAAGAGGCUCUGCUGGGAGACAACAAAAAUAAUGAAGAAUUGAACCAGAGUCCGGUGAAUAUCAGCACUGGGACCAGUUAGCAGAGGAAAAGGAAAGAAUAAAAGCGAAAAGAAUGAAGAGUCAUAUGAUUACCAACUUUUCCUUUUUCAUAUAAAUUGAGUGUAUAUGGGUCUGGAACAACCUGAAUUUCCAUCAAGUCCUGGCUAACCUCAUUAUGUCCUAUGAAUAUUUUUGACUAAUCCCACUUUACAUUAAUCUGUAUUGUGAAUGUGGAUAUUGAAUUAUAUUUCUUUGUAAUCCCAUUAUCCAAAAUCCAGUUCAGAGACUAUUAGUUACCAAUGUUCACUGUGAAGGAAAAAAAAAAAAAAAAAGCUCAGAGGAUAAACAUGUGAUAUGGUUUGGCUGUGUCCCCACCCAAAUAUCAUCUUGAAUUGUAGCUCCCAUAAUUCCCACGUGUUGUGGGAGGGACCCGGUGGGAGAUAAUUGUAUCAUGGGGGUGGUUCCCCCAUACUAUUCUCAUAGUAGUGAAUAAGUCUCACAAAAUCUGAUGGUUUUAUGAGGGAAAACCCCUUUCACCUGGUUCUCAUUCUCUUCUCUGGUCUGUCGUCAUGUAAGACAUGCCUUUCACCUUCUCCACCAUGACUGUGAGGCCUCCCCAGCCACGUGGAACUGUGAGCCCAUUAAACCUCUUUCACUUAUAAAUUACCCAGUCUCUGGUAUAUCUUUAUCAGCAGCAUGAAAACAGACUAGUACAACAUGUUUGGAAAUGAUGUUCAGAAUUAAAUUUUCUUCUUGAAGAAUAAUAAUGUACAGGAGUGUGUUGAAGAUUUUGAGAAUUCUCACAGCAAAGGAACUUGUUAAUUUUUUUAAUCCACCUACCUAAUAGAAUUAAUAUUUUAAGAGAAACAGCUUGUGAAACAAUUAUAUAUAUGGUCCCAUAAAAACUUUUAGAAAACAAUUAUUAUACACACAUAUAAACACAUAUUACUUACUAGUAAAGAUGUACCUAUCUUCCUAGGAAGCUCUUUCAUGGUAUUUCAUUAGUAUCCCUUCCAGCACCUACCAUCCAUCCAGGCAAAUUUUAGAUGUUUUACAAAGGUUUAUGAAAUUGCAUUAAACACCUGUUAAAAAUCACUUUGUUCAUUGCAAGACAUUUAUAUACUGUAGUUUUAAAGAAAGAUAACAGCUGAGGGGAGCUACAGGAAAAAGAAAAGCAUAGAACUUAUGUUGAAUUAUUUUUCUUGUGCAUAUGAAGUUGCUCUGUGAGAACAAGAGCACUCAGCAGACGUAUAGAUCCACUAUCUUUUCACAUGGCAAUAUGUUCAUCCUUUCAGACAAUUUGAGCAAGUUUGGAACAUAAAAUAAUACAAAGAGGCUAAAAUGCAAAGCAAAAAAAAAAAAAUGAAAAUGAUUGGCACAAAAUAAUGGAGCAAUUGUAAGAGAUGUUACAUGUGUAAACUUAAACCAGGACAUAAACCGUUGAAGUUCACCGUUUAAGGAAGCAUCCAAAUAUAUAAUAGUCCUGCUAAAUGCUUGGAGUAGCAAAUUUCUAUCACAUGCAUCCACAUGCACAUCUUACAUUAAAAUCCCGUGACAAUAGUGUUAACAUCUUGUCAUUUUAGCCUUGAAUGUCAAAGGCUCAUGGGAUCUACUCCAUGACUCACAUAACCUGUAUAUCUAGAAACAGGUGUUUUAAACUCUACAUCUGGUGAUAAAUAUUAAAGAUAGAAGAUGAGAGUUCUAAAACAGUCUACUUAUUUCAUUUCCACUUGGCUUUGCCACCAUUACCUAAACUAUUACAGAUUGAGCUCCACAGACUACUCAGAAUUCUCCUCCUGUCUUGAAAUUCCAAAUGCAAUUUUCCCAGGAUUUUUAGAAAUUUAUGAAAUUAUUAGCCAAAAAUAUUAUAUUUCAAGAUUAAGCCCUCAUCCUACAGUUUAGAAAACCAAGAGCCAGCUGAAAAUACUUGCUCAAAUUCAGAGAAUGAAUGUUGUCUAAAUUAGUUCAAAAACAAGUGACUCAUUGAAGAUAAAGUAGUGUGGUGAUUAAAAGCAUGUACUUUGAAAAAAAAAAAAGUGACUCUUGGCUUGUAAUACAAUUUUUUCACUGCAUUAUUCUAAGGAAAUUUGUUAGUAGAGCUGAAAUAAUACAGCAUUAGGGUUAAAAAGUACAAGUUUCAAAGUUACAAAGACCAAGGUAGCGAAAGGCAAAUUACUCAACCUCUCUAAACAUGGUUUAUUCAUUAGUAAAAGAAGAACAAGAAUAUUAUUUAUGACAUAGUAUUAAGAGUUUUAAACAAUGUAGAAUACUGAAAGUGCCAAAAAACUAUUGUCAUUAUUACAUAUGUAAGUAAAAUUUAUUUUCUGCAUAUCAUUGUAUUAGUCUGUUUUCAUACUGCUACAAGGAACUACCCAAGCAGGUAAUUUGUAAAGAAAAGAGGUUUAAUUGACACACAGUUCAGCAUGGCUCGGGGGGCGGGGGGGCCCUCAGGAAACUUACAAUCAUGAUGGAAGGCAAAGGGGGAGCAAGGCACCUUCUUCACGAGGCGGCAGGAAGGAGAAAUGCUGAGUGAAAGGGGAAGAGCCCCUUAUAAAACCAUCAGAUCUAGUGAGAACUCACUAUCAUGAGAACCGCAUGGAAGAAACUGCUUCUGUGAUUCAGUUAUCUCCACUUGGUCUCUCCCUUGACACACGACGAAUUACAAUUCAAGAUGACUUUUGGGUGGAGACACAAAGCCUAACCAUAUCAAUCACCAUACCUUUCAAAAACUACAAAUAGUUUUCAUUACAUUUGGAGGUCAGUCUCAUGUAAAUUAUAAUGAGGUAUCAUAUUCAAAAUCCACUUUGAUCUCUGCUUCUAAGAGGACGGAGUGGACAUAAUUUCCGUAUUCCUCCCAAUGGGCACAACUAAAAACUCUGGAAAUGAUAUAUAAAACAAAUGUAAGAAGACUCUAAAGCAUGGAAAGAAAAAGGCAGGCGAGCUUGGGAAAUUGGAAUUCAAUGAACUACACAGUGCUGAGUUCCCUGAGUUUUCAUCUUGCCUCACAUAUCAUCUCAGACUGGGCACUAAAGACAUCAACAACCCGAAAAUACUAAAACGCUAAUGGACACAAACACCAAAACACACACAUACACACACAAAUAAAAACCCAAGAGAAGCCUGCUUUCUCUUGCCAAUGGACCAGAAAAGAAGCAGCAUAGGAAGACAGAAAACAUUUAGACAAUAACCACUUUACUCUAGCCAAACACUAUGUAAAAUACUGCAUGCCUACCCCUAGAAGCAAAGGCAGAGGGGAGAGUCCAGUCUUUGGACUCUUGCCAGGCUGCCAGGAGGUGCUGCAAGCCCUACCUACCUCCAGAGUGGUGUCAGAGAAGGCAGAGUGGAAAGCUGAGACCAUCAUCCCUAUCAGGUGGUAAAGAGGAUCCCCUUCAGGGUGUCAGGGGAGUCCAUGGGAAGAGGGAUAGGGACUUGGAUUUCCACCCUACCCAGAGGCACCAAGGCACCCACACUCCUCUCACUGAGGUGCUGUCAGAGGAGGUCUAAUGGAGAGUCGGUACUUUAAUGUGGCUCAGUGGUAACAAGCUCGACCCCAAAAGUGCUAGUAGAGGCCAUGUGGGAAGCUGUAAGAAGACAUCCCUCCCCUCCCAGCCAGGGUGGUAUCAACAGAUACCUAAUGGGGAACUGAGUUUUGACCAAAGUGCAAAAGCAAUUCAAUGGAGGAACAAACUUUUCAAUAAAUGGUGCUGAAGCAAUUGGAUACCUAUAGGCAAAAAAAUAAAAAUAAAAAAAAAUUAGACCUCAAACGUUUAACAAAAAUUAACUCAAAAUAAAUAGUAUAUUUAAUAUAAAAUGUAAACUACAAAACUUACAAAAUAACAUUGGAGAAAAUUUUCAGGACCUAGGACUUGGUGAAGAAAAUGUAGAUGUGACACCAAAAGCACAAUCCAUACGAGUAAAAAAUCAAUAAAUUGGAUCUACUUUUGCUCUGUGAAAGAUCCUGUUUAAGAGAAUGAAAAGACAAGCUAUAGAGUGGGAGAAAAUAUUUGCAAAUAUCAGUGAGAUUUCUUAAAAUUGAACAGUUAAAAACAAAUAACCCAAUUAGAAAAUGGGCCUUCCCCACCCCCAAAAAACCCAUGAAGAGACAUUUCAGACAUGUAAGCAAAUGAAAAAAUGUUCAAAGUCACUAGCUAUUAGGGAAAUGCAAAUAAAGACCAUGAGGAGACAUCACUACAUACCUUUCAACAUGCUGACAUAAAAAAAACGGUGACAACACCAGAUGCUAGCAAGGAUACAGAGAAACUUGAUGUCUCAUACAUUGCCAGUGGGAAUACAAAAUGGUUAAGCCACUGUGGAAAACAGUUUGGCUGUUUCUUAAAGUAAUUAAACAUAUGCUUACCAUACAACCCAGAAAUUGUACUCCAGGGCAUUUAUCCCAGAGAAAUGAAACAUUAUUGUAGCAGUUUUUUGUUGUUGUUGUUAUAGCCAAAACCUGGAAUACAGCAAUAAAAAGGAAUAAACUAUUAAUACACACCAUGAUUUGGAUGGAUUUCAAAGUCAUUACAAUAAGUGAAAAAAAAUCUCAGAGGACACAUUUAUAUGUGAGCUCAUUUAUACAACAUUCUUGAAAUGAUAAAAUUACAGAGACAGGAAAAAAAAAUUAUGUUUCCCAUGAGUUAGGGAUGGUAUAGGCGAGGAAAUUGAGUGCAGCUAUAAAGGGGUAAUUUGAGGGAGAUCUUUGUGGUAAAGGAAUAGUUCUGUAUCUUGAUUGUACUGAUGAUAUAGACUGAUGAAUCUACACAUAUGAUAAAAUGACAUGGAAUCAUAUAUACUCAUUGUCUAAUUUCUGUCUUUGAUGCUGUAUUAUAGUUAUAUAAGAUGUAUCCAUUGAUGGAAACUGAGAGAAGAGUACGUGGGUUGUCUCUGUGCUACUUUUGCAACUUCCUGUGAAUCUACAAUUAUUUUAAAAUAAAAUUUUUCUUUUUUUAUUAUACUUUAAGUUCUAGGGUACAUGUGCACAAUGUGCAGGUUUGUUACAUAUGUAUACAUGUGCCAUGUUGCUGUGCUGCACCCAUUAAGUCGUCAUUUACAUUAAGUAUAUCUCCUAAUGCUAUCCCUCUCCCCUCCCCCC
rnacentral:lncRNA from 10 species